UCCAGCGUUGUUGGUGGACGUGAGAAAGCUUGUCUCCAUCAACAAUGCCACCAACAAAGAUGUUGUCGACCGCCCCACCAAAGAUGUUGAUGACCCUGAUGCUGAGAGUGACGGCCCAGGUGAAACGUCACUUUGCACACCUUGCAGACCUUCACAAGUGAAAAUCGGGAAUGAUGGAACAGUCACUGUCUCGUCACAUUGUUGGGAGACUGCAAAAGCUAGUACCACCCCCAAUGGGAUGGCACGGGUGCUACUGAUGGGGCUCUUCAGUGUAGAUGUCCUCCUCAAGUCCAACCUGAAAGGAGGAGUCAGCAAGCUAGAUCCCACUGCUGAUCGUCGGCAGGCUCUCGACCCGAGGAAACUUCAAGCUUUACUAGGGCCCGAGCCCCGAUGGUGUGAGGACCCUAUUGGAAUUGCUCCGCCACCUACAAUAUUUCAACGAAGUGCCCCUUGCACCACAUUUCACAUACAGGUAUGAAAUUCAGUAGACACAUGUAACAGCCCAAUCCCUACAAUCCCGUGUGCGAGAGCCCUUUUAUCGCUGCUUGCAGCUUUAAUUUUGCAUUGUAUUCUUUUUUUUUUUUUUUUUUUUUUUGUGGGAUUACACUUGUACACAUGAUUGAACAUGUGAUUGUGAUUGAGCAUGCACUUAAUUAAUAUGUGUGUUCGACAUCGGUUGCAGCUGGAUGCAAUCGAUCGGCGAGAGUAGCCGUGUACAGGCGGGGAGGAGCUGAAAACGGAGACGUGAAGUCGGACACUUUCUGCUUCCCGUAGUGACGUUUGCAUACUUUAUCAUAGCUGAAGUGAAAUGCAAUAUUUGACUAAUACACUGAUGUUUCAGAAACAUUUUCAUUCAAUACUUUAUGUACUGCUUACAGCAUCUGUUUGUACAAGAAUAAAGUUCAACAUAAGCAUAUAUUAUUUAAACACCAAUGUAGUGGGGUCUACUUUUUUUAUGUUUUAUUUUGAUAAAGAUGACACAAUAUAACAUCGCGACUACAUGAAAAAAACUUUAACUGUUAUAAAAAUACAGAUUUGUGAGCAUUAGUGGAACCUUUGGUGGAACUGAAGGUUUCAGAAUAAACAUGAAACACACGUGAUCGUUGUCAUGUGGUGAAUUCGACCAAUCGUGAAACAGCUGUGUCGCCAUCAGAGCUUGUGCAGCUGCUCUUGAGAUGCUGCGCUGGCUCAAGCGGCAACCUCCCCCAGUUUCCGUUGAAGCCAAUACAAAAGUGACUUAAACUGCAAUUCAUCGACUGGCCGCUAGGGACAGGCUCCAAAAGAGAGCAGAAUCUCACUGACCCCCACGUUAAAAUGGCCAACUUUACAGCAGAAAAAAAACAUGUUUACAGCUUGGUACAAAUUGUGGUUUUGGUCUAUACUGCUAAUUUUGCCCUUCAUGACAACUCUGAGGGGGGUGAUUUUUUUUUAUAACUCAUCCAUUUAAAUUAAGCCUUAAAGUAAUAACUAAUAAGGAUAAGUUAUAUCAUUAGAAUAUUAAUAUUUUAGAUAGUAUCUAAGAUAGAUAGAUAGCUCCUUUGCCUGCUAACAUGAUCACGUUGAGCUAGGCGGGCAUGGUUUCAGUAACCAUGGCACCUCAGUUCCAACCACGUCCCGCCUCUUUGCCCAUUUUCAGUUAUCCGGGAGUGACGUGCGGUGACGCGCAGCUAAGAUGGCAGUGGCCUCAUUUUCGCUUCAAAAAUGCUCUUCAGAAAUCUACGGGUGACGUCACGGACACUACAUCCAUAUUUUUUUUUACAGUAGGCUCGUUUGAGAUGAGUAAAAUCUGCGCAGAACCGAUCACUGCAAGAUGCGUGCCGGUUAGAAAUGUGUCCGAGGGUGGGCCACCUUGCUCUGAUGUCAUGUCGACGUGUGUCAAAAAAGUCUCGCAAUGGCGAGGCGGCCUCAUCGGAUUCUGCAGUCGGGCGCAGUUGCUCUCCACCGACUGUGCUAACGAAAAGCACGAUGGGAAACGACUUUGCUGACGACACAGCUUAAUGCUCAUUGGUUUAAACAACCAUGAUGUAUUGAUCUCUUUUAAAAUGUUUGAUUUUAAAACUCUAAUAUAAUGAUUUUAUGUGUAUAAAUUAUGUGUGAAUAUUCCCAAACUCUCUGACAGUGCGAUCUCUCUGUGGGUUAUGUGAUUGUUGUCAUAUUUAUAAAAAUACAUAAAAAUGAAACACAGACCUACAACACACUCAUUAUACAGAAUAAUGAAUAUUAGUAUACGAGCAUGGAGAAAAAAUGACAACAAACUCCUAAGCACAAGGGAGAAAUGUGAGAAAUGUACAAGAAUAUUUAAAAGGGCUAAUAAUAUUUUCAUUGCAUUAAAAUAGAAUAAAGACAAUAGUUACUUUUUUUGUCCAUUCUUCUUUGAAUUUUCGAUCUAAAUCAGUCUUUUGUCUAUCAGAAUAAUCGUGUCAUCGCGUUCAGACACCACUGUAUCCGUGUCCAGUUUGCACAUAUAUUUGAUUUGAAGACGACAUGAUGAAAUGUGUGUUCAUACACUGUGCUGGUUCAUGUUUGUUGCAGGAGAGUGUGUGAAAUACAUCUAUAAAAACUUUAAACAUGGAUACUUUAUUCUGUAUAUGAUCUAUAAUCCAUGUGGUUAGAGUUGUUAAACUCAUCGCGGAGUUCCGCGCUGAAACCGAUCAUAUGCGCGCUCCGCGUGUAUAUCAUAUCAAUCGUAUUUUUCAUGAGUUCGUAUUCAAACUCAAUUUCAGACCGCAUCGCGGGCAAAAUACAAACAACAUUCGUGCUAUGUGCUGAGGUAAACACACACACGGCUCGCGUGUCCGAACGCAGAGCAGGCAGAGGUGAAUGAGCAGCACUUUUGUGACAUUUUAUUCUCCGCUGUAAUGCGAUCUCAUACGAACAUAUUUUCCAUUUUUGCUGCUGGACAACAGCAAAACAAACCACCUGCACCAAAACUUCAGCUCUGGUCGCGUCGCAGGAAAACGCAUUUUUGUGUUGUAGCACUGAGGAAACAAGCACCUACGACCCAUGUCUCUGAACAGGGACGUGCACAGACAUUUUGGGGGGCAGGGGCUCAAGUUAUUUAUAUUUAUUUAUAAUAAACAAAACGUUAAAUAUAUUAACACAACUCUGACUUUCUUACCAAUUUAUUUUAAUUCCCUCACACUACAUAAUUGUUUCAUACUGCACAGAUUUCUACAAAAUAAUCAGUUCACACAGAAACCAUGGUCUUCUUUAGUAUUCACUAGGUUUAUCACAACAGCAAAGGACACUAUGCCACAGUGUGCAUGUUUUCUACACUACUAUUUUCAAGUAGCUACAUAUUUAGAAUAAAUGACUGCACCAAGGAGAGGGACAUAGUUUCGCUAAUAAUUUGUUUAUUUUGCACAAAUCAAUAAAUCGUUUUAAUUCUUUUGGUGUUAUUGGAACACUUCUUUCAUGUAGUGGACAAUUUUGAGAUUUUGGUCUAUUUUUGCUUCCCUGUCUUCUUUUACUCUAAUGGAAAGAAAACUUCCAAAAUACACAUUUAGAUGGUGUUUGUUUUAAGCCUACUACCCUCUGUAUGUUUGCAUCUGUAGAUUUCUUCUAAAUUAACCAAAACAAGCUAAUCUGCAUAUUUAAACACAUCAAGAGUUUUUUCCCCUGAAAUGUUACAAGUACAUAAUAUUUAUAUUAUAUUAUAAUAAAUGCCUGCAGAGGGCGCCAAAAGUCUGGUGAUUGUUCUUGUUACACAGCACGAUCAAAUCCUUGUUUUGGGCCAACCAGGAUAAUUAAAAAUAUAAUAUUAGUUAAAUAAUAAUAAUCGACCACUUCUUUAUGAUAGAAAUGCUACAGCCACUGUAAUUUCUGAAGACAUCAAAACAUGCACACUCAGAGCGAGGAACUUUCAUUGAUGUAUUUAUUAUCCUGUGUAAGCGUAGAUUUAAGAAAGAUAGCAUUAUGCAAUGUUGUAUUGUGAUUUUUAAAUGGUUUUAAUAAAUCGUGCAUCCUUAGAAAACUGUCUAAUAAUGCGGUUUAUGGAUCCGCGUCCGUGGAAUGCUCCUCUUCUGGUAUUGACAGCCCUACAGAUAUCUUUACCAUGGUUCAAAACGCAAUGCAUAGUACAUUAAAAUAACUGAAAUUAUAAUAUUACAUAAAUUGCAUUAGUAUCAAAUCAGGCAGAUGCGUUGCUGGUGGCCAAAAUAAUUAACGCGGCAUUAAACGUUUAAUCUCACCCUUAAAUAGCCAAAAAUUUCACAUGUUUGUGAACAUAGGCUACCUGAAAGAGAUGCACGGGAUUCAUCUAGGGCAGGGGUUCUCAACCUUUUGCAAGCUGGGCCCCCCAAAGCUGGUUCAUUGCAGUUGGGGCCCCAUUAUUAUUAUUAUUAUUAUUAUGAGUAGUAGGCCUAUCAUCAUUACUAGGCUAUUGCUAUAUAAUUAUAUGAGGUUACAUGCUUUAUUGUUGUUGUUAUUAUUAUAAUUAUUAUUAUUAUUAUCAUCAGUAGGCCUAUUAUCAUUUGCUAUAAUUGGGAAUUGGCACCAGACCUCUGAUAUUGAUUUAUGCUUUAUUAUUGUUAUUACUAGGCCUAAUAGUAGGCAUCAUCUGCAUUUUUUACAGAAGCUUGCAGGUAAAGGAAAGCUUUAACUGUAGCCUAUAUUCUGACUAGUUUAUUCGUUCAUAUAUAUAUAUUAUAUAUAUAUAUAUAUAUAUAUAAAACUAAAUACGACCUCACGUUUUAUACGUUUGCAGCCUCUGAAACUUCCGUCCGUCAUAAAAAUUCGGAUGGUUCGAUUUUCUUCAUUUUUCGCAUCCGUAUCAAAUAUUUUGAGGGGUGUUUUUGACAACUGAGAGCCACCAAAUGACGAUUAUAUGAAAAAACGAAUACGACAGUUUCGGACUCAGUCAGGGUGCAAGGACCUUAAACUUUUGAGGCUUGCGCAGCUUCUCGAGGAGAAAUCAAACAAAUGAGCGCCGUUUUCUAAAGUCUAUGAGUGCAGCACACACAAAUAAACUAAAUUGACAUACUGCAGUUAAAUUUCAAAAUGUGGUGUUUUUAUAUUUAUAACAUUUGAAUACAGUCAAAGUCCCUUUAAGACAAGUCAUUUUCAAUUUUCAAGUCAACAACUGUCUCAUAAUUUUUUUUCCCAAACGCUCAAAUCAUGCCAAAAAACAGUAUUUAGGCUGGAUCAAGCUAAUGCGCAUGCGCAGACCUAAAUGCGCGUCUCUUGUGCCUCAUUUCGGAGGCGCGCGUCUGACUGUUUCUAUAGAAACCGGUGCUUCUAACGGCCGCUGCAGUGACGCGAUGACUUUACAGGUCGGCGAUUGGCUCUUAUUUUGAAGGCGGGACUUAUUCCGCCAUAUUGAGCGUUACACUUUCUCCCAUUCAAAACAAUACGAGUGACAUGUCUUGUGUUAUUCUAUAGUCUUUGAUACAGUUCAGCAACAUACAUCACACGACCUGACGACCAAGAGAGCUGACAACUGACCAUCACUUAAUUUACCAUCACCUCUCGAUUGAAAAUGUGACACUGAUAUGACAGUUCAACAAACAAGUUAAUAAUAUUAAGUCACUUACAUUUUAGACGAAAUAAUGACUGUUUUGGUCUAUUUUAGCAGAUCCGAUGAAUCCAAACAAAGAUCACAACAUAGCGCAUCUCACAGCAACACUCAAUUGUGUUUUGAAUGAUUCAGUGUUUUGAACAAAUCGUUUGAGUCAAAGAUUCAAUGACCCAUUCACAAACAUCUGUCUCAUUCUUGAUGAAUCGGCCGUUUGAACGAAUCGUGAAUGAACGACUCAAUGACUCGCUUAAUAAAACCGCUUAUCACCUGCAUUUGCGCUCACUAUCGACAAACCAAUCAAAUUUGUUCAAAACUUUUUUUUUUUUUAAAUCAGUCCAAACACAUUUUAAUUUUAUUCAGGAGUUAUGUAUAUACAAAACUAUAACUUUUUAUGACGGUAGUGUAGUGAUAAAAAAAAUUUGCAAAUUUUUUUUUUCAGGGUUUUUUUUCCCCUCCCAUCCUGUAGCCUACUCGCGCCCCCACCGGUUGAGAACCACUGAUCUAGGGCUUUUUUCUUUUUCGCUUCUCUUCGCCAGACAGCUGUUGUCUUUUGAAGAAAAAGGGCAGGUGCUCAGGCCCCCUUUGAUGUCUAUGUGUGCACGUGCCUGUCUCUGAAUAACAGAGACAAAAGCAAGAGAAGUGAUACUUCCUCGCGCAUAAUACCGCAAUUAUAAUCUUAUGCAUACUACAGCGCAGUGAUUGGAUUUAAUGUGCUUUUUGUCAUGAAUAAAUCCAGAUCUUGCCGGUAUUAAACGAUGACGUCAGAUUUUGUGACGUUUAAACUCAAGUUAACGUACAGUAUUUUGUUAAUUUUACAUAACAUUAUUUUAAUAAGUAUCACAAUUAAAAUAAAAGUUCAAAGCAUUCAUAUCUUAUGGAUGUUUAUAAGAAUACCUAACUUUUGCUACUUUAAAGAAGACAAAGACCACUUAUAAAUAUUAUUAGUACAUUAUAAAGCUUUGUUUUUUUGUUACAAUAAGCAGUAAAAUUCCACUCACAAGAUGUAGAACGAUACUAUGGAGAUCUUCAGUAAACAAUGAAGAUAUGAGACUUGAGAAAUUACAAUAUUUAACUGAGAUAUAUAAUACAUAAGUGGAUAAAAUUGUUCAUUUUGUGUUAUACAUAUUUUUAAUAGUCACAACUACAACUUAUUACUGCUGUUAUGAUUCGUCAUUAGAUGAUACAAUUAAUUAAUAAGGCAUUAUGUGUGCAUUAUAAGAAUACCCUUACGAUGCAUUAUAAAUGCAUGCUUCAUCUGGAUCUAUAAUGCAUCAUACUCUUAAAAGGUACAACCACAAAUAGCUAAGUAUCAUAAUAACUGUAGUUAUAACACAUUUAUAAGAUGUUACAACACAAUGUUGUUAAUAAUGCAUUAAGAAUACCCUUAUAAUGCAUUACAAAUGCAGGCUUCAUAGAAAGUGUUACCGAAUUUUGUUUCUAGCCCUUACGAAUAUUAAAUUAUUAGCAUAAACGUGAGUGAAAAUUUGGACAGGUGGUGGUGCUAGAGGGAUUGAGCUAGAGACUCAAAAUUUGCUCUGGUGACAGUUCAAACUGUCCUCUACCUGUGUGCCAAAUUUCAUAACUUUCCCACAAGCGGUUCUAUGGGCUGCCAUAGACUCCCAGAGCAGAAGA